CUUCUCAGAGCAGCGCACCUCAGUAAUCCUAUUAUGGUGGAUAUCAGGGUACAAGCAAAAAGAUUGAAAAUCCAAAUGGAAGGGUUGGUGUUAUCAUUGGAAAAGCCAGGGAAACUAUUAGGUAUAUCCAACUUCAAUCAGGAGCAAAGAUUCAAGUCACAAGAGACCAUGAAGCUGAACCUGGUGCACUAACAAGGCAAGUUGAGCUUUCUGGCAAACCUGAGCAGAUAAGCAAAGCUGAACAGUUGAUCAAAGAAGUUCUGGCAGAGGCCGAUGCUGGGUCAUCCGGUGCUAGAUCUGGAGGCCGGAAAUACAAUGCAACACAGCAAGGUGCUGAGAUGUACCAGA